UGAUACACUUAAUGUAAGUCGCUCUGGAUAAGAGUGUCUGCUAAAUGACAAAAA
rfam:Salmo salar isolate Sally breed double haploid chromosome ssa01, whole genome shotgun sequence.